UACGGGGGGAGCAAGCGUUGUUCGGAUUUACUGGGCGUAAAGGGCGCGUAGGCGGGGAGGUAAGUCGGGUGUGAAAUCCCUCGGCCCAACCGAGGAACUGCGCCCGAGACUGCUUCUCUUGAGUCCCGGAGAGGAAGAUGGAAUUCCCGGUGUAGCGGUGAAAUGUGUAGAGAUCGGGAGGAACACCGGUGGCGAAGGCGGUCUUCUGGACGGUGACUGACGCUGAGGCGCGAAAGCGUGGGGAGCAAACGGG
rnacentral:rRNA from 1 species